ACAAACUUUUCAGGACAAGACUGUAUGCACAGUAGACUUAGUGACAAAAUAAAACGACUGUAAAAACUUGUAUUUAUGCAUUAGUCUAUAGUCUGCGUGUAUUUUGUGCAGGGAAUGAGUUCGGUGCUUUCUUUUCAGCGCCAGCAGUAAACAGCCUAGCUAAAGUGAUUUAUUUUACAAAUAUCCUUAAAUCCUGUCGAAUCGCAUGUUAAGGGAGAGUGAGAAUGACCGGGUUAAUUAAAGUUGUUGAGCGUAAUGCUCUUCAGAGCCAUGCAGCAGGGGCGAUGGGGGCAGACUUUUGUGCUGAUGUCGGAGUGAAGGCUGCAGAGCGUUUUUCGGUGAUGCUGCCGCCGCGUCCGUUCCUCAAGUUCGUUUCCAAGGAGGAGAGACGCCUCGCGCCAGGACUCCACCCCCUUCUCCUGAAUGCGCGAGCAGCUGCUUUCAAAUCCAACUGCUCAAUUCCAUUCAUCCUCGAGAGGGAACAAAAAAGUGGCUAUUUAUUAGAAUACUUGUUUUGUAUUGUUCCGCGUCACACAAAAGAGGCUUUAUUAUUGUGUAGUGAGUGGUGGGACUGGGAGCUGGGUAUGACUGGCCUUGGCACACUAAGUGUAGAUUUUAGCAAGGAUGGCGGUCUGGCGAGAGGCUUUGGCUGGGUUAGGACAGCGAUAGAACCGGUAUACUGUAUAUUUUUGAGAGGGCCAACUCCCCGGCGUGCAGUAUUUUAGAGUGCCCAUUUAGCCAGGCCCCCUGCUCUCCUGACAGCUGAUGGAAAAGGCAGUGUAACAAUGAGCCCCCACCGUGCCUCUCUGCCUGCCCCCAACCACCAGGGGAAGAGGAAGCAGCGGCAGCCGUGUGACACAUUAUUCUGUCCCCCGGAACCUGCAGCCAGGCCAAGCCCCCCCUCCGGGUUCCCUUGGACCUCUAAGUGCCAAGCCAGGGACUGAGUGACAUUUCCAGAGUCCUGACCUUUGUUUUUCCAUUGACUGGGAAGACGUUUGAAGGAGGUACAGUGCACACUGGUCGACUCUCUGCGAAUGGCACACACUCGCAAUUACACACACGGUUUUAGAGCUGCUCGCACAAAAGGAGAACUUAGCGCUAUGCUGUUACAGAGCUUAUGCGAGAGAAAUGCUAUAUCUGGUUUACGUUGGAUUUUAACUACACCAAGUCUGGCUAAAAGGCACGGCAAACUUAACUAGACUAAUAAAAGGUAACCUCGCUGCACUUUGACUAAACUUUAAGAGCAGAGUUUAAUCUUCCCAAAAAUGACCACUGGAGACCAAAUCACGGCACAUUUUGUGUUUCUGAAAAGCUCCCCUUAAAAUGAAGUCAGAUUAUUGUACCAUUCAGCGUUACAUAGAAAUGUCUACCACAAAAUUAAUUCGGGAGGCAUGUUGGUUUGAAGUAUGGGUUCUCGUAGGACUACAUUUAAAAGCAAAACAGGAGAAAGGAAAGCCUCAUGCGGAGAAAAUGGCAUAAAAUGGAGUGUACUGCAGUGUUGAUAGGUUGAGUCUUGGGCUUUAUUAAUGAUAUAAGCUGCUGGCCAGUGCUUUGGUCAAAUCAGACACCUGCUAUGGCUGCCACACUCCAAGAAUGGUGACAUCACAGGGAGCAGGACAAGUCAGAUCCGCUGUUAAUCGCUCGCCUUAAUUGAGUGCUCUGCUGAGUUCAAAAUUGCUCAGUACAAUCAAGACUCAUUUAAGAGUCCCACCAUGUGCUCUUAGGCCAUGAUGAGAUAUUGCCUUCAAUGCCUGUUGUUUCUGCAUAUCAGCCUUCCUUUCAAUACACCCCCUACAUAUUUGCCUUUUUUACUCCUACCCUUCAGGUUGCUGUUUUUACUGGCUUUGGUUUUCUCUAAUUUCCCUGAAUUCCAGGUGGGGGAGGAAGCUAUUGUUUUCGAACAUCCUGGUCCUGCUCCUCAUUUAUUAAUCACUAAUUCCAACUUGGCAGAAAGUAUAGACCAAAGUAAGUCUUUCUUUUUUAUUCCCAUAUCUUGUAUCACUUUGAAGGGGUUUAUUUUGCAGUAUGAACUGCACAUUAUCCAGUGUAUGAUGUGGCUGUUCACCAAAUAAAUAUAUAAAAUAUUGAUUUGACUUGAAACUAUUUCUCUCCGCUUAGAAAAAAAAACGUACAAAACAAUUAGCAUAGCAACAAGGCAAACAGUGCAACAAUAUUACAAUAAGAUUAACACUGGAAUCCUCUGAAGUCAUUUUUACUAUAUAAUCGAUAACUGAGAUGCAAGAUGGCACCAGUUCUGUUUGUGAAUCGAGAGUGUGAGUACGUGAGACAUGAAAGUAGUGCCUGAUAAACAGUGUUAUCAUAGGCGAUGGUGAAUAUUAAUCAAUGUUUGAUUGCUGGAUAGUGCAAUUGACCUAUAAGAAUCAAGUAUUCCAGUAAGCCGUGUAAUAUUAUUUAUCAGAGUGCUUGCUACUAAUUGCGCUGUGACACUCACGCACUUACUUUUCACAUAAAAGUUCUGCCUGUGCAACCCGAUCUCAUGCCAAUUCAUACAUAUUUUACGAGGGAUUUGUACCACCUCACUCAUAUGAAUUUGUAAAAUUUUUGCUAAAUAGUAUGUACAAUAGUCAACAUUUGAAGUGGAUCAAAGCCUUUCAUCAAAGUUGUUCUAAAACCUAAAAUCAAAAUGCGUUCCCCAGUUCGUAUGAAUUUUUAUUAUUUCACGAGUUCCCCAAUUUGUAUGAAUUUGUACAAAUGACCUACCCCUAACCCCGACCCUAAAUCUACCCGUCACUGGGGUCUAGACAAAUAGUACCAACGAGGUCGUAUGAAUUUGUACGAAUUAGCCACAUUGGAAAAUACGUACAAAUUGGUCAUGAGACAGCGUUGGCCUGUGUCAGAGCUGUUGUUUCUUUUGUGAAUCGCGCCACAAACACAAGACAUCUUUACACAGCUAAGUUAAGGCUGCACUGUGACUUAGCUCUUGGUAUAACAGUAUACAGUAAAUUGCAGUGUAAAUGCAUUUAUGCCGCCUCUGAGCAGCAAUGUAAAGACACCUAAAGUCCCACUUCUGUGUUUCGGUUCCACCUUAGCAGUGUAAAUUUGGCAUCAAUAUGGUAAAAUAUAUGAGCAAAAGAGAAGCAGUAGCAUGUCAGCUGAAUAAUUCAUGAGCAGUAAUAUGGCAUGUAGGCAUAUGUGCAAAAAAACCUCUCGCAAUGUAGUCUGACACACUAGCCGUGAAGUUAUCAUGCUGACUGAAGUUUAUUUCUUGUUGAUGAAUGCUGUUACUCUGGCAUCUGAGAAAACAGCCACCACAGGUGCUCACACUGCAUGUGGAGACAUAAAAUAUAGCUGUAAAGUUUUAAAUGCAUGGAUUUAAGGCAACAUAGUACAUUUUUAUAGAAACCAUUUAUAGAAAAUUUGUUCCACAAAAUGAAAAAGCAUUUUAAGAUAAUUUCAAUACAAAUAUUUUAGUGCCCCCAAUAGGCCAGUUAUUGUAAUUUUUACAUGCAAAUUUCCUAUAAAACUCCUGUUUGGUUUUACAAUAAAUAGAUAGGGUGGGAUGGUGGGAUGUCACCAAUACAUUCUACAUGACUCAUCAGAUCUUAUUUCUUAUGCAAAUGUAUCUCAGGAAUACAGAAUGACUGUAGUGAGAGGGAAGGAGAGUAGAGGAAGAAGAGUCUUGUUUUGAAAAGUCUCCUGUGUGCUUCACGAUGCCUGGCUAUCACAGUGUCACCUAGUUAAUCUUGUGUUCAACACAGCAUGUCACAGAUCACAUGAAGCCUCAGACACGCACGCACGCACGCACGCACGCACACACACACACACACACACACACACACACACACACAAACACAGUGUAUUGAAUGUGACCACUCCCAGCGCAGUGAAACUGUUCAGGCAAUCCACACCACUGCGGAGCAAAUGCCUUACUCAUGUAAUUUAUUACUGUCUG